GGAUACCCGAGGGAAACUUCGGUUAAUACGGUAUAAGACCACACUACCGCAUGGUAGAGGGGUAGAAGGAGAAAUCCGGUAUGAGAUGGGCUCGCGUCGCAUUAGCUAGUUGGUGAGGUAACGGCCCACCAAGGCGACGAUGCGUAGCCGACCUGAGAGGGUGAUCGGCCACAUUGGGACUGAGAUACGGCCCAGACUCCUACGGGAGGCAGCAGUGGGGAAUAUUGGGCAAUGGAGGAAACUCUGACCCAGCGAUGCCGCGUGAAUGAAGAAGGUCUUCGGAUUGUAAAGUUCUUUAGUCAGGGAAGAAUAAAAUGACGGUACCUGAAGAAUAAGCUCCGGCUAACUACGUGCCAGCAGCCGCGGUAAUACGUAGGGAGCAAGCGUUGUUCGGAAUGACUGGGCGUAAAGGGUGCGUAGGCGGUUAUACAAGUUAGAAGUGAAAUACCCAGGGCUUAACUCGGGUGCUGCUUCUAAAACUGUAAGACUUGAGUGCAGUAGAGGUUAGUGGAAUUCCUAGUGUAGCGGUGGAAUGCGUAGAUAUUAGGAGGAACACCAGAGGCGAAGGCGGCUAACUGGACUGCAACUGACGCUGAGGCACGAAAGUGUGGGGAGCAAACAGGAUUAGAUACCCUGGUAGUCCACACUGUAAACGAUGGAUACUAGAUGUAGGAGGUAUCGACUCCCUCUGC
rnacentral:rRNA from 1 species